rnacentral:lncRNA from 1 species
UUUUUCACAAACCCUACAUACCAAUUUCCUAAUUCUGCUUCUUCCUUUUUCACCGAUCCUUCUUCCUUCUUCAUCGAUCGAUUACCGAUUCCUACGAUGUUUUGUUUUGAAGUGUUAAUCAGGGUUUCUGGCAAUGUAUUGAACAUCACCCAGAUGAUGAUAAAGAAAAGAGCCCAAGUAAGUUUUUCUUUUCUGAAUUAAGGGUUUAUUAAUUGUGUCAGAAUUGUUUUGUUUAAGGUCCCCAGAUUGAGAAGAAGAGCGUCGAUGUUGUU